rnacentral:rRNA from 1 species
UGCAGUCGAACGAUGAAGCCCUGCUUGCAGGGUGGAUUAGUGGCGAACGGGUGAGUAACACGUGAGUAACCUGCCCCUGACUCUGGGAUAAGCCCGGGAAACUGGGUCUAAUACCGGAUAUGACUUCCUACUGCAUGGUGGGUUGUUGAAAGAUUUAUCGGUGGGGGAUGGACUCGCGGCCUAUCAGCUUGUUGGUGAGGUAAUGGCUCACCAAGGCGACGACGGGUAGCCGGCCUGAGAGGGUGACCGGCCACACUGGGACUGAGACACGGCCCAGACUCCUACGGGAGGCAGCAGUGGGGAAUAUUGCACAAUGGGCGGAAGCCUGAUGCAGCGACGCCGCGUGAGGGAUGACGGCCUUCGGGUUGUAAACCUCUUUCAGUAGGGAAGAAGCGAAAGUGACGGUACCUGCAGAAGAAGCGCCGGCUAACUACGUGCCAGCAGCCGCGGUAAUACGUAGGGCGCAAGCGUUAUCCGGAUUUAUUGGGCGUAAAGAGCUCGUAGGCGGUUUGUCGCGUCUGCCGUGAAAGUCCGAGGCUCAACCUCGGAUCUGCGGUGGGUACGGGCAGACUAGAGUGAUGUAGGGGAGACUGGAAUUCCUGGUGUAGCGGUGAAAUGCGCAGAUAUCAGGAGGAACACCGAUGGCGAAGGCAGGUCUCUGGGCAUUUACUGACGCUGAGGAGCGAAAGCA